rnacentral:tRNA from 1 species
GUGCCGCUUCACGGGAUCGAACCGUGGGCCUUGUCAUUACUAGUGACACGCUCUACCACUGAGCCAAAGCGGC